rnacentral:rRNA from 1 species
GACGAACGCUGGCGGCGUGCCUAAUACAUGCAAGUAGAACGCUGAAGAGAGGAGCUUGCUCUUCUUGGAUGAGUUGCGAACGGGUGAGUAACGCGUAGGUAACCUGCCUUGUAGCGGGGGAUAACUAUUGGAAACGAUAGCUAAUACCGCAUAACAAUAGGUGACACAUGUCAUUUAUUUGAAAGGGGCAAUUGCUCCACUACAAGAUGGACCUGCGUUGUAUUAGCUAGUAGGUGAGGUAACGGCUCACCUAGGCGACGAUACAUAGCCGACCUGAGAGGGUGAUCGGCCACACUGGGACUGAGACACGGCCCAGACUCCUACGGGAAGCAGCAGUAGGGAAUCUUCGGCAAUGGGGGCAACCCUGACCGAGCAACGCCGCGUGAGUGAAGAAGGUUUUCGGAUCGUAAAGCUCUGUUGUAAGUCAAGAACGAGUGUGAGAGUGGAAAGUUCACACUGUGACGGUAGCUUACCAGAAAGGGACGGCUAACUACGUG